rnacentral:tRNA from 3 species
UGGGGGAUCGUCUAAUGGUAGGACAUCGGCCUUUGAAGCCGCGAAUCGGGGUCCGAAUCCCUGUCCCCCAGCCA